CCGGGCCGUGGGCGGCCUUGGCGGACGGCCGGUCGGCUUCGCGGGCCGGCGUGGGCGGUCAGUGUUUGCCGAUGGGGUCGCCCUCCACGUCCGGGCC
rnacentral:tRNA from 1 species